rnacentral:tRNA from 1 species
UGGCUAUUGUGGCUGCUCGGCCCGGCGACUAUUGCCUUUGCGGUGCCGGUGUACGAUAACCUCGCGAUUAUCAAAC